UCGCCUACAGAGGAGCCGGCGCCUUGCCGUAAAACCCCCUCAUUUUUUUUUACAAGGUUGACCUCGGAUCAGGUAGGAAUACCCGCUGAACUUAAGCAUAUCAAUAACCGGAGGAACAC
rnacentral:rRNA from 1 species